rnacentral:rRNA from 1 species
ACGGGGUGCGGCAGGCGCGAAACCUUUACACUGCACGAAAGUGCGAUAAGGGGACUCCAAGUGCGAGGGCAUAUAGUCCUCGCUUUUUGCGACCGUAAGGUGGUCGCGGAAUAAGUGCUGGGCAAGACCGGUGCCAGCCGCCGCGGUAAUACCGGCAGCACGAGUGAUGACCGCUAUUAUUGGGCCUAAAGCGUCCGUAGCUGGCCGUGCAAGUCCAUCGGGAAAUCCGCGCGCUUAACACGCGGGCGUCCGGUGGAAACUGCGUGGCUUGGGACCGGAAGACCUGAGGGGUACGUCCGGGGUAGGAAUGAAAUCCCGUAAUCCUGGACGGACCACCGGUGGCGAAAGCGCCUCAGGAAGACGGAUCCGACGGUGAGGGACGAAAGCUCGGGUCACGAACCGGAUUAGAUACCCCUGUAGUCC